rnacentral:tRNA from 1 species
AGUGGGGUAGUUUAAAAAGAAUGUUGGGCUCAUAACCUAAAGGUAAUGGUUUUUCUCGCU